rnacentral:lncRNA from 1 species
GGAAGCAGAAAUCCCCGAUGUUUCUGUGGUGGUGAAGGCGGCACCGCCACCUCCCUUCCUGGUCCCCGGCGGACUCGCUGCUGUCGCCCCCACGGCCCCGGGGCCACACACAGAGCGCUGCACCGUCCCUGGGGCUGGUUGCGGGGUCAAAACCGCAGGGUUUUGGUGCCAAGGCGAGGGCUGCGGCUGCCUGGGCUGCGAGCAGGAAGCCCUGCCACCGGUAAGCGGUUGCGGUCCCUGGGUGGAGAGAAGCGGGCUGAGAGCAGUCACCACUGCUCACCCCAGUGAGGUCUCAGAGGGGGGACAUGGAAGGGGGGGCCAGGCACCCGGCAGCCAAAGGCCGGAGCUGCACGUGGGCAGUGACCCGACCCCUCCUCCGAACCACCUUUGGCUGCGUCUCCUGAGAACUUGGCUCUGCCCCCUGCCCGUCUAGGCCACGCCCCGGGCCCGACCUGGCCGCGCCUUCCAGGGAACGGUUGUGCCAGGCCUGAAGGAGAAGCGGCCACCCCUCCAACCCCCCCCCCGGAGCUCCAGUGGCCUCCCCGCCAUCCGGAACGGGUUCUGUAGUGCCCAGCCCUGGGAGCGGCCGUUAGCGCGGAGAUACCGGUUCAUACCGCGCUCCGGGGCAGCCGGAAGUACUGGUCGGUCCUCCGAGGGGCAAUCUCUAUGGCCUUUCCCCUUCAGGCACCGGAAGUUCCCCCUCAGUCCUCCGGCGUACGUCUCUAUGGUGCCGCGGUCCUCCAGGGACCGGAAGUUCCGCCUCAGGGACCGGAAGUUCCCCCUCAGUCCUCCGGCGUACGUCUCUAUGGUGCCGCGGUCCUCCAGGGACCGGAAGUUCCCCCUCAGUCCUCCGGCGUACGUCUCUAUGGUGCCGCGGUCCUCCAGGGACCGGAAGUUCCGCCUCAGGGACCGGAAGUUCCCCCUCAGUCCUCCGGCGUACGUCUCUAUGGUGCCGCGGUCCUCCAGGGACCGGAAGUUUCCCCUCAGUCCUCCGGCGUACGUCUCUAUGGUGUCACGGUCCUCCAGGAUACUGAAAAGUUUCUGUCAUUUCUCCUGAAAUCUAUGUCUGUUGCAUUUGGGGCCACCAGAACAGCGAAUGUGCCUCUCAGUCCUCUGAAAAGAAAUCUUUAUGGCCCUGCGUUGGGCAGGGCCUGCAGUAUAUAAGCCAGAGCCCCUGCUCAGUGAGCCUGUUCCAUUCCAGGGCUUCUCUGGGGUGAGAUCUCUGCUGAGCCCUCAGUGAACUGCAGCUUUGGGGCUGGCUCAGCUGUAGAGGCACAGGUGUUUGGGCCUUUAGAGAAGCAGAGGUGAGAAGCCUGAAGUAAGAUAUUCAGGACUAGGUAAAGAUUGGUAAUAUAUAUAGGAGAAACCAGACUUUCAGGCUGCUGUUUUGGUUUU